rnacentral:rRNA from 1 species
UGGGGAAUAUUGGACAAUGGGCGAAAGCCUGAUCCAGCCAUGCCGCGUGUGUGAAGAAGGUCUUCGGAUUGUAAAGCACUUUAAGUUGGGAGGAAGGGUUGUAGAUUAAUACUCUGCAAUUUUGACGUUACCGACAGAAUAAGCACCGGCUAACUCUGUGCCAGCAGCCGCGGUAAUACAGAGGGUGCAAGCGUUAAUCGGAAUUACUGGGCGUAAAGCGCGCGUAGGUGGUUAGUUAAGUUGGAUGUGAAAUCCCCGGGCUCAACCUGGGAACUGCAUUCAAAACUGACUGACUAGAGUAUGGUAGAGGGUGGUGGAAUUUCCUGUGUAGCGGUGAAAUGCGUAGAUAUAGGAAGGAACACCAGUGGCGAAGGCGACCACCUGGACUGAUACUGACACUGAGGUGCGAAAGCGUGGGGAGCAAACAGGAUUAGAUACCCCCGUAG